CUCAUGCAAUUAAGAGUGUUGAGCUCAAGGUGAUGGUAAGCCGAGAAGUAUUGUAAAGAUCAACUUUGUUGAAGGUCUUCCAUUUGUUGAAGCUGAUCUCCAUGCAGUUGGUAUGAAGCAAGUGCAGCUGGAAGGUGGCCAUGCAAGCUCGUGACAAGCAUGCAGCAACCUUGGUUUUGUGUUGCUGUUGGAUUUGAACUAAUAUUUUGUUCAUUUUGAAGUCUAGUUUGCUAUAAGCUUUUUGAUUGAUGUAAUUUGAUGUUGAUGGAGUCAUUAACCACUUUGUGUUAAUGUACAAGUUAAGUUUUUGUUAUUUGAAAAGCUUAGUGGAAGUAGGUAUAUGUUUAGGUAGAAAUUUGACUUGUAAGUUUUUUUUUUAUUCUGAUAUAUGUAAUGGCAACAUGCCAAUGGUGAUGUAUGAAUGAAAUACACUUCAUUUUUCAUCAA